rnacentral:rRNA from 1 species
UACGUAGGGUGCAAGCGUUGUCCGGAGUUACUGGGCGUAAAGCGCUUGUAGGCGGUCCACCAAGUUUGGGGUGACAGUUGCCGACUUAAUCGGCAAAGUGCCUCAAAGACUGGCGGACUUGAGGGCCACAGAGGGACAUGGAACUCCAGGUGUAGUGGUGAAAUGCGUAGAUAUCUGGAAGAACACCAAAGGCGAAGGCAGUGUCCUGGGUGGUCGCUGACGCUGAGAGGCGAAAGCCAGGGGAGCGAACGGG